AUUGAACGCUGGCGGCAUGCCUUACACAUGCAAGUCGAACGGCAGCACGGGUGCUUGCUCCUGUUGUCGAGUGGCGAACGGGUGAGUAAUACAUCGGUACCUUUCCUGUGGUUUUGGGUAGCCCUGCGGAAGCCGGGUUAAUACCGCAUACGAUCUACGUGCUAAAGCGUGGGGGCUUGUGAGCUCGCGCUGUUGGGUUUGCCGUUGGCUGAUUAGCUAGUUGGUGGGGUUAAGUCCUACCCAGGCGACUUGCCGGAUCUGGUCUGUGAGGACGACCGGCGACACUGGAACUGAGACACGGACAAGACUACUACGGUAGGCAGCAGUGGGGAAUGUUGGACAAUGGGCGAAAGCCUGACACAGCAAUGCCGCGUGUGUGAAGAAGGCCUUCGGGUUGUAAAGAACUUUUGUCCGGAAAGAAAUCCUUGGCCCUAAUACGGUCGGGGGAUGACGGUAACGGAAGAAUAAGCACCGGCUAACUACGUG
rnacentral:rRNA from 1 species